GCCAGGGUAGCUCAGUUGGUUAGAGCACGGGACUCAUAAGCCCGGGGUCGCGAGUUCGAAUCUCGCCCCUGGUACCA
rnacentral:tRNA from 3 species